AUAUGCAAAUGAAUGGACAAGGCUGUGUUCCAAUACAAUUUUAUUUACAAGAACAGGCAACUGUAGCUUCUGUCUGUCCUCUUUCAGAGACAAGAAGAGAUCUUGGUCUAUCACUAGCACCAUGUGCAAGGAUCAGAUACGGACCGUAGGGGGAAAGAUCGGGCUUCUAAUCACAGCCCUGUGUCUCUGUAGCUCUUUCAGAUGCAAGUGCCAGAAACCCAAUGAAACAAGAAAUUUUCCUUGACCCUUUCGUGGGCCUCGCGACGGGGGUGCCUUACUUCCUCAGUCCGCAGCUCUCAACUCCUCAUGGUAGGGGGAGCACGCAGGAGCACCCAGUCUCUCCUACUAUAGGUGGACUUUAUUUCUGCACCAGGGAAGACAGACCUCUGCUAAUUCUGGACUCAAACACUGAUGGCUCUAGCCCUGGAGAAGAAAGAGGAUCUCCUUUAUCGAGGGCCAGCAGGUGAACCUUGCAAAACCCAGAACAGCCAGCCCUGAUCUUUGGUUUUGAUGGCGUGAGAAAUCACAGAACAAGGAAGGACUGUACCUUGCCAGAUCACAGUGAAAACAGGAGAAAACUGAGACUCUUCUGCAUGAGAAAGAGAACAUGAGAGUCUUCCCCGAAUAUCUGAUGGAUCACAUUUAUUCUGCCUGGCAACAUAGGGAACACUUAGGAACUUAACAGGAGACAUAUUUCUCCACAUUGGAGGAAACAUUUAUGAGCACCUUAGGACAGCUCUUGAGAAAUAACCGAAUGUGUUCUCACAAAUAACUGGGAGACAUCAGGAUAAAAGUUCAUGUGAAGUUUGAAGGAGAGGAUGAAGAUCCUCCAAGCGCAUCAGCAGAAACAGCAAAGAAGUAAUAAUAUAUUUUAUGCAAGAGUCUAUUGGAAAGAGGAAGCAUAUGGAAGAAGGCAGUAGCAGAUUACUAAAAGCAGAUGGGAACAUUUUUACUUUGUGAAGGAAGUCUAUGGAGAUCCCAAGUUAGCUAGAGAAACAUUCCUAUUUUGAGUACAACAAACAUCUCAGUCCCAUGAACACUGGGCCUAGACCAAGGAUUGGCAACAUGUGAUGGUCACAGUGCCCUGGAAAAAGGAUUGGAGAGAUAGGCAAAGUAGUUUAGGGGGCUUGCCUCAGCAUUAGACAUGGUUGCACAUCAAGGAGCUGAAUGUUUGAGCCCUGGGUAGACUCUAUAGUAUGUGAAGAAGACCCUUAGCUCUCCUGCCUGUCCCUGGAAUACUGGAAUUCUGAGAAAUUGCCAGUCUUGCACUGUGGAGACAUUCCCAUACCUACACAAGAGCUUCAGGAGCUGAGGACAGCUACCUAUAGUGGGAUGCCAGGGCCAACAUCAAGGCAAUAGCAAAAGGAAAUUUUCAGGAAACGGUGUGACUGGCCAUGCUCUGUGUGAGCAGCAAGAGAGACUUGCCACUGUGUGUUUCCACCUGAAAAGCUGUAAAAUCUGUGGAGAAGGUCUGUGAAGAUAUUGAAACCAGUCAGUAGAAAGACAAAUAAAUAUAAUCAUUAUUGAAUUGUUAUAAUAAGUGAGUCUAUUGCAAACUCAUUAUGAUGGUAUAAGCCUAUUGACCAACUACAUCCUUAUUAUAGUUAUUAUAAUUACUGGCUCAGUGGAACUAUCACCAAACUCCCUAAUAUAAUUUGUUUGGUCUUUUUUUAAAUGUUUGUUAUAAAGCAGUAAGCCUCAUCCUCCUGUGAGAUGUAUCAUGUUAUCUGUUACUAAUACAAGUUAAAUAUUAAGAUAUAGGAAUUAUUUACUUCUAUUACACAGAAUCCAAAGUUUUCCCAAUAAUAAUGCUAUUAGCACUGUAGCAGACCCUGUUAGUGCCCUACCCAAAUCCCCUGAGCCCCACCCCUACAGACUAAAGGCUGCUUACUGUGAAUAUCUGUGACUCUCUGCUUGAGAGUGUUUUGCUGGCUACCAGAGCAUGCAGGGGCUUAUGCAUGGCAAAAUGAAAGUUCUAAAGAAUUAAUUAACUCCCAAUGAUGAAUGGGAGUUGGAAGAUAAAUACCCCAGUUUCCUUUCCCUUUGGUUGAGAUAACUCUGAGGUGUGUCUUUUACACUAGCCCCAAGAGUUCCCCAGCAGUAUUGCACUCCAGUUGCCUAUGGUGGUAACUUGCUGGAAUACAAACCCUUUGUUGGCUUCCCUCCCUCAUAUCCCCAAUCCUCAGCCAGUGCUUUCUGAUAUUCUACCCCUCACCCAAAUUAAUCAUUAGCACUCGAAUCCUUGUCUCAGGGUCUACUUCUGCUGUAACCCAAGCUAAGACAUCUACUAACUCUUUUUUUCUGACAUACCUUUUUGGGUGGGAAAGACAGUGGACUGUAGACAUUUGUUACCUUCAGUACAUCCAUGGGAGUAUGAUAUAUGUCAUUUGUGUCACGGUAGAAUAAAGGUUGAUAAUUGUCAUAAAACAUGCACCUGACUAGUUGAUUGACUGUGACACAAGGUGGCUUCAAGAAGGGAUGACAGCUCAGUAAAGAAAGGGCUCCUGGGCCGGGUGCGGUGUGGCUCAUGCCUGUAAUCCCAGCACUUUGGGAGGCCGAGGCGGGUGGAUCACGAGGUCAGGAGUUCAAGACCAGCUUGAACAAUAUGGUGAAACCCCGUCUCUACUAAAAAUACAAAAAUUAGCCAGGCGUGGUGGCAGACACCUGUAGUCCCAGCUACUCAGGAGGCUGAGGCAGGAGAAUCGCGUGAACCUGGGAGGUGGAGGUUGCAGUGAGCCAAGACUGUGCCACUGCACUCCAGCCUGGGCGACAGAGCUAGAGUCUGUCUCAAAAAAAAAAAAAAGAAAGAAAGAAAGGGCUCCUGGAGAACAGGGCCACACCUCUUAUGGUCCCUCCACUCCCAGUCCCAAGUUUCAUGAAUGUUAGUUUGUAGAAAAAGGCCUGAGAAUACCCCUUUAUCUCUGAGAGGCACCAGUUGUGAGCAUAGAGAGGCAAAGAAAAAUUAAGAAGAGUUUCCUUUUUGUGUAAAUACAGGGAAACUUUUUCUUUUCUUUCUUUAUUAAGAUAGGUGAAGCAGCUCAAUGUCAACUUCCAGAAUGGUAGAGUAAGAACCUCUGAAAAUUCGCUCCUCAUAAAAGCAAGGAGAACACUAGAAAAAAAGCUGUCAGAAACAACUUUUCAGGACUCUGGAAAUUAAAACUUGCAACAAUCUUAGGAAUGUUUAUUCAAGAAAAAUGGCUAAAUCUUGGUAAGAACAACAAAUAUUGUAGCCUCUUAACCUAUCUUAAUCCCAUCCCUCUCUCCCCAGCUCCACAGUAGCCUUAAAUGCCUUAAAAACUGUAACUACAAUGGCUGGGAAAUCCAGCAGCCUAGCAUCCACUGAAGAGGGCGAAAGAGGUUUGGAGUUGGGCGGGUGCAGUGGCUCAGGCCUGUAAUCCCAGCACUUUGGGAGGCUAAGGUGGGUGGAUCACGAGGUCAGGAGUUCAAGACCAGCUUGACCAACAUGGUGAAACCCCAUCUCUCCUAAAAAUACAAAAAAAAAUACACACAAAAA
rnacentral:lncRNA from 1 species